rnacentral:tRNA from 1 species
GCCAAGGUGGCGGAGCGGCUACGCGGUCGCCUGCAGAGCGACUAUUACUCCAGUUCAAAUCUGGACCUUGGCU